rnacentral:rRNA from 1 species
UGAACGCUGGCGGCGUGCCUAAUACAUGCAAGUCGCGCGAACAGACGCGGAGCUUGCUCCUCUGACGUUAGCGGCGGACGGGUGAGUAACACGUGGAUAACCUACCUAUAAGACUGGGAUAACUUCGGGAAACCGGAGCUAAUACCGGAUAAUAUAUUGAACCGCAUGGUUCAAUAGUGAAAGACGGUUUUGCUGUCACUUAUAGAUGGAUCCGCGCCGCAUUAGCUAGUUGGUAAGGUAACGGCUUACCAAGGCAACGAUGCGUAGCCGACCUGAGAGGGUGAUCGGCCACACUGGAACUGAGACACGGUCCAGACUCCUACGGGAGGCAGCAGUAGGGAAUCUUCCGCAAUGGGCGAAAGCCUGACGGAGCAACGCCGCGUGAGUGAUGAAGGUCUUCGGAUCGUAAAACUCUGUUAUUAGGGAAGAACAAAUGUGUAAGUAACUAUGCACGUCUUGACGGUACCUAAUCAGAAAGCCACGGCUAACUACGUG